UACGAAGGGGGCUAGCGUUGCUCGGAAUCACUGGGCGUAAAGCGCGCGUAGGCGGCUUGUUAAGUCAGGUGUGAAAUCCUGGAGCUCAACUCCAGAACUGCCUUUGAUACUGGCGAUCUCGAGUCCGGGAGAGGUGAGUGGAACUGCGAGUGUAGAGGUGAAAUUCGUAGAUAUUCGCAAGAACACCAGUGGCGAAGGCGGCUAACUGGCCCGGUACUGACGCUGAGGUGCGAAAGCGUGGGGAGCAAACAGG
rnacentral:rRNA from 1 species